CCCCCCUUAAAAGAAAAUUUAGUCCUCUAAAUUGGUCAUAGCUCGAUCGAUGAAAAUGUGAGGAUUAUGAUUUCUUUAUUUCCGCCUCCUGUUCUCAAAUAGUUUCAUUAAUACAAUACAAUUACACAAUUAUCCAAGAGUGACCGAAAUAUUCUCCUCUUUGAUCCUCAAUAGAUGGUAACCCGACCUUCAAUCAAUCUUUGAAAAUACUUGUGCACCCUAUAGUUAUUCAAACAAGUCGUCACUUUAGAGUACUCGUUUUUUUAUGGUCACCUAAUUCAACUGUCUAUAAUCAAUACAAAGCCUCAAUAUUCCAUCCAUCUUUUUAACUAACACCGGAGCACCCCAUGAUGAAAUAUUAAGCCAAAUAAAAUCCUUAUUUAAUAGUUCUUGUAGUUGCUUUUUCAAUUCCACUUACUCAAAUAAUAUCAUUUUGUAGAGAGACUUAGAUAUUGGGAUUGUCCCAAAGACCAAAUUAAAAGUAAAGUUAUGUUUGGAGGUAAUCCAAGUAAGUCAUCCUGGGAUACAUUAGGCAAGGAGAUAAAUCAUGUCCAAUACUCUCAAAAUAAAAGAUCGACUGAUCAAAUAUGCAAAAAGUGAUCAUUUGUUAUAUAUCAAUCCAUACUGGUCUGAUAGGAAGAUAGCCAAUCCAUACCAAGUAUAAUAUCAAAACUCCAAAUCUCUAGGAGAACUAAAUCAGCAAAAGUUCAAGUUCUCCAAUAAGAAUCAGACAAGAGGACCAGAUUCAAGUUCGUUAUCAAAGAAUCUCCAAUGAUCGUAUUUACAUAUAGCACAUAAUGCAGUGGUCUAGGUUGAAUACCCAAGUGAUAAGCAAAAUAUUACGAAUCAAAUCGUAGAUGGGACCCAUGGUCAAACAAAUAUUUACAUUUUUUCAUAAACAUGCAUAAUACCUUUGAUCACUAAUUCAGAAGUUUUAGAAUCAUAUUCAGUGAUAACAUUCACUCUGACAUGGGCUGAUGGUUUAUGAGGCAGUGACUCUUUCUUCUUGUUCAAAGGGCAGUCUUUUAUUUUAUGAUCUAACUUUCUACAAGCAAAAUAAACUCCGGUCACCCGAAAAUAUAAAUUUAUUUCAUAAUUUAACUUGUAAUUCACACAUGAUUGAGUCUUUUCUAUUGACUUCCCAUUUCAAAUCUAAAUGUCUUAACCUUCCUGUUAUUACUUUC
rnacentral:lncRNA from 1 species